AGUCGAACGGGAUCUUCGGAUCUAGUGGCAGACGGGUGAGUAACGCGUGGGAACCUGCCCUAUAGUAGAGAACAACUCGAGGAAACUUGAGCUAAUGCUUUAUACGCCCUUUGGGGGAAAGCUUUAUGCGCUAUUGGAUGGGCCCGCGUUAGACUAGUUUGUUGGUGAGGUAACGGCUCACCAAGACGUCGAUCUAUAGCUGUUCUGAGAGGAUGAUCAGCCACACUGGGACUGAGACACGGCCCAGACUCCUACGGGAGGCAGCAGUGGGGAAUAUUGGACAAUGGGGGCAACCCUGAUCCAGCGAUGCCGCGUGAGUGAUGAAGGCCUUAGGGUUGUAAAGCUCUUUCGUCAGGGAAGAUAAUGACGGUACCUGAAGAAGAAGAUCCGGCUAACUCCGUGCCAGCAGCCGCGGUAAUACGGAGGGAUCUAGCGUUAUUCGGAAUUACUGGGCGUAAAGCGAGCGUAGGCGGAUUUGUAAGUUGGAGGUGAAAUCCCAGAGCUUAACUCUGGAACUGCCUUCAAAACUACAUUUCUUGAGUUUGGUAGAGGAGAGUGGAAUUCCUAGUGUAGAGGUGAAAUUCGUAGAUAUUAGGAGGAACACCAGUGGCGAAGGCGACUCUCUGGGCCAAUACUGACGCUGAGGUUCGAAAGCAUGGGUAGCGAACAGGAUUAGAUACCCUGGUAGUCCAUGCAGUAAACGAUGAGUGCUAGAUGUUGGAAGCAUUAGUUUUCAGUAUCGCAGUUAACGCGUUAAGCACUCCGCCUGGGAAGUACGGCCGCAAGGCUAAAACUCAAAUGAAUUGACGGGGACCCGCACAAGCGGUGGAUCAUGUGGUUUAAUUCGAAGAUACGCGAAGAACCUUACCGGCUCUUGACAUACCAAUCGCGGACUUAAGAGACUAAGUCUUUCACUUCGGGUGGAUUGGAUACAGGUGCUGCAUGGCUGUCGUCAGCUCGUG
rnacentral:rRNA from 1 species